rnacentral:rRNA from 1 species
GCCCAGACUCCUACGGAGGCAGCAGUGGGGGAUAUUGCACAAUGGGGGAAACCCUGAUGCAGCGACGCCGCGUGGGCGAAGAAGUAUUUCGGUAUGUAAAGCCCUAUCAGCAGGGAAGAAGAAAUGACGGUACCUGAGUAAGAAGCACCGGCUAAAUACGUGCCAGCAGCCGCGGUAAUACGUAUGGUGCAAGCGUUAUCCGGAUUUACUGGGUGUAAAGGGAGCGCAGGCGGCCUUGCAAGUCUGAUGUGAAAGGCCGGGGCCCAACCCCGGGACUGCAUUGGAAACUGCGAGGCUGGAGUGUCGGAGAGGCAGGCGGAAUUCCUAGUGUAGCGGUGAAAUGCGUAGAUAUUAGGAGGAACACCAGUGGCGAAGGCGGCCUGCUGGACGAUGACUGACGCUGAGGCUCGAAAGCGUGGGGAGCAAACAGGAUUAGAUACCCGAGUAG